CCUACGGGUGGCAGCAGUGAGGAAUAUUGGUCAAUGGGCUCUCGCCUGAACCAGCCAAGUCGCGUGAGGGAUGACUGCCCUAUGGGUUGUAAACCUCUUUUGUCAGGGAGCAACGCCGGCUACGUGUAGCCGGUCUGAGAGUACCUGAAGAAAAAGCAUCGGCUAACACCGUGCCAGCAGCCGCGGUAAUACGGAGGAUGCGAGCGUUAUCCGGAUUUAUUGGGUUUAAAGGGUGCGUAGGCGGUAUGCCAAGUCAGCGGUAAAAUCGCGGGGCUAAACCUCGAUCUGCCGUUGAGACUGGCGUUCUUGAGUGGGCGAGAAGUAGGCGGAAUGCGUGGUGUAGCGGUGAAAUGCAUAGAUAUCACGCAGAACUCCGAUUGCGAAGGCAGCAUACCGGAGCCCAACUGACGCUGAAGCACGAAAGUGUGGGUAUCAAACAGGAUUAGAUACCCUUGUAGUC
rnacentral:rRNA from 1 species